rnacentral:rRNA from 1 species
AGUGAACGCUGGCGGCGUGCCUAAUACAUGCAAGUCGAACGGAGUGGCGCACGGGUGCGUAAUAUAUAGCUAAUCUGCCCCUUGCUGGAGGACACCAGUUAGAAAUGACUGCUAAUACUCCAUAGCAAGGGAUAAGACUAUAUCGUAUCACCUAGUCGGUGGGGUAACGGCCUACCGAGGCUAUGACGCGUAACUGGUCUGAGAGGAUGAACAGUAACAAUGGAACUGAGACACGGACCAAACUCCUACGGGAGGCAGCAGGAGGGAAGAAUGCGCAAUGGGGGAAACCCUGACGCAGCAACGCCGCAUGGAGGAUGACACUGUUAGGAGCGUAAACUCCUUUUGUAGGGGAAGCGGUACCUAACGAAUAAGCACCGGCUAACUCCGAGCCAGCAGCCGCGGUAAUUC